rnacentral:rRNA from 1 species
AUCGAACGCUGGCGGCAUGCCUUACACAUGCAAGUCGAACGGCAGCACGGGGGCAACUCUGGUGGCGAGUGGCGAACGGGUGAGUAACACAUCGGAACGUACCCGGUGGUGGGGGAUAGCCCGGCGAAAGGCCGGAUUAAUACCGCAUACGACCUACGGGUGAAAGCGGGGGAUCGUAAGACCUCGCGCUAUCGGAGCGGCCGAUGUCAGAUUAGGUUGUUGGUGGGGUAAAGGCCUACCAAGCCGAUGAUCUGUAGCUGGUCUGAGAGGACGACCAGCCACACUGGGACU